UGAGCAAUCUGCCCUUCUCAUCGGAAUAAGCGUUGGAAACGACGUCUAAUGCCGAAUACGACCUCCUUUCGCAUGAUCGGAGGUGGAAAGCUCCGGCGGAGAAGGAUGAGCUCGCGGCCUAUCAGCUAGUUGGUGUGGUAAUGGCC
rnacentral:rRNA from 1 species